UACGGGAGGCAGCAGUGGGGAAUAUUGCACAAUGGGCGAAAGCCUGAUGCAGCUAUGCCGCGUGUAUGAAGAAGGCCUUAGGGUUGUAAAGUACUUUCAUCGGGGAGGAAAAAACAAAACUAAUAAUUUUAUUUCUUGACGUUACCCGAAAAAGAAGCACCGGCUAACUCCGUGCCAGCAGCCGCGGUAAUACGGAGGGUGCUAGCGUUAAUCAGAAUUACUGGGCGUAAAGAGCACGUAGGUGGGUUUUUUUAAGUCAGAUGUGAAAUCCCUGGGCUUAACCUAGGAACUGCAUUUUGAAACUGAAAUACUAGAGUAUCGUAGAGGGAGGUAGAAUUCUAGGUGUAGCGGUGAAAUGCGUAGAUAUCUGGAGGAAUACCUGUGGCGAAAGCGGCCUCCUAAACGAAUACUGACACUGAGGUGCGAAAGCGUGGGGAGCGAAAACAGGGAUUAGAUACC
rnacentral:rRNA from 1 species